rnacentral:rRNA from 1 species
UACGGAGGGUGCAAGCGUUAUCCGGAUUCACUGGGUUUAAAGGGCGCGUAGGCGGGGAGGUAAGUCGGGUGUGAAAUCCCUCGGCCCAACCGAGGAACUGCGCCCGAGACUGCUUCUCUUGAGUCCCGGAGAGGAAGGUGGAAUUCCCGGUGUAGCGGUGAAAUGUGUAGAGAUCGGGAGGAACACCGGUGGCGAAGGCGGCCUUCUGGACGGUGACUGACGCUGAGGCGCGAAAGCGUGGGGAGCAAACGGG